GACGAACGCUGGCGGCGUGCUUAACACAUGCAAGUCGAACGGUAAGGCCCUUCGGGGUACACGAGUGGCGAACGGGUGAGUAACACGUGGGUGAUCUGCCCUGCACUUCGGGAUAAGCCUGGGAAACUGGGUCUAAUACCGGAUAGGACCCUGGGAUGCAUGUCCUGGGGUGGAAAGCUUUUGCGGUGUGGGAUGGGCCCGCGGCCUAUCAGCUUGUUGGUGGGGUGAUGGCCUACCAAGGCGACGACGGGUAGCCGGCCUGAGAGGGUGACCGGCCACACUGGGACUGAGAUACGGCCCAGACUCCUACGGGAGGCAGCAGUGGGGAAUAUUGCACAAUGGGCGCAAGCCUGUUGCAGCGACGCCGCGUGAGGGAUGACGGCCUCCGGGUUGUAAACCUCUUUCAGCACCGACGAAGCGCAAGUGACGGUAGGUGCAGAAGAAGGACCGGCCAACUACGUGCCAGCAGCCGCCGUA
rnacentral:rRNA from 1 species